UGAACGCUAGCGGCAGGCUUAACACAUGCAAGUCGAGGGGUAACAGGAGUAGCUUGCUACUUGCUGACGACCGGCGCACGGGUGCGUAACGCGUAUAGAAUCUACCUUGUACUAGGGGAUAGCCUUUGGAAACGAAGAUUAAUACCCUAUAGUAAGUAUUUAUGGCAUCAUUUAUACUUUAAAGGUUACGGUACAAGAUGACUAUGCGUCCUAUUAGUUUGUUGGUAAGGUAACGGCUUACCAAGACUUCGAUAGGUAGGGGCCCUGAGAGGGGGAUCCCCCACACUGGUACUGAGACACGGACCAGACUCCUACGGGAGGCAGCAGUGAGGAAUAUUGGACAAUGGAGGCAACUCUGAUCCAGCCAUGCCGCGUGCAGGAUGACGGCCCUAUGGGUUGUAAACUGCUUUUAUGUAGGAAGAAACACUCUCACGUGUGAGAGCUUGACGGUACUACAAGAAUAAGGACCGG
rnacentral:rRNA from 1 species